rnacentral:rRNA from 1 species
CCUACGGGUGGCAGCAGUGAGGAAUAUUGGUCAAUGGACGAGAGUCUGAACCAGCCAAGUAGCAUGAAGGAUGACUGCCCUAUGGGUUGUAAACUUCUUUUAUAUGGGAAUAAAAUGUUCCACGUGUGGGAUUUUGUAUGUACCAUAUGAAUAAGGAUCGGCUAACGCCGUGCCAGCAGCCGCGGUAAUACGGAGGAUCCGAGCGUUAUCCGGAUUUAUUGGGUUUAAAGGGAGCGUAGGUGGAUUGUUAAGUCAGUUGUGAAAGUUUGCGGCUCAACCGUAAAAUUGCAGUUGAAACUGGCAGUCUUGAGUACAGUAGAGGUGGGCGGAAUUCGUGGUGUAGCGGUGAAAUGCUUAGAUAUCACGAAGAACUCCGAUUGCGAAGGCAGUUCACUGGACUGCAACUGACACUGAGGCUCGAAAGUGUGGGUAUCAAACAGGAUUAGAUACCCUAGUAGUC